ACGAACGCUGGCGGCGUGCUUCACACAUGCAAGUCGAGCGGAAAGGCCCUGCUUUUGUGGGGUGCUCGAGUGGCGAACGGGUGAGUAACACGUGAGUAACCUGCCCUUGACUUUGGGAUAACUUCAGGAAACUGGGGCUAAUACCGGAUAGGAGCUCCUGCUGCAUGGUGGGGGUUGGAAAGUUUCGGCGGUUGGGGAUGGACUCGCGGCUUAUCAGCUUGUUGGUGGGGUAGUGGCUUACCAAGGCUUUGACGGGUAGCCGGCCUGAGAGGGUGACCGGCCACAUUGGGACUGAGAUACGGCCCAGACUCCUACGGGAGGCAGCAGUGGGGAAUAUUGCACAAUGGGCGGAAGCCUGAUGCAGCAACGCCGCGUGCGGGAUGACGGCCUUCGGGUGGUAAACCGCUUUCGCCUGUGACGAAGCGUGAGUGACGGUAAUGGGUAAAGAAGCACCGGCUAACUACGU
rnacentral:rRNA from 1 species